AUUGAACGCUGGCGGCGUGCCUAAUACAUGCAAGUAGGACGCAGUUGCGAACGGGUGAGUAACGCGUAGGUAACUACCUAUUAGAGGGGGAUAACUAUUGGAAACGAUAGCUAAUACCGCAUACUAGUAGAUGGACCUGCGUUGUAUUAGCUAGUAGAUAGGGUAAAGGCCUACCUAGGCAACGAUACAUAGCCGACCUGAGAGGGGGAUCGGCCACACUGGGACGUGGACACGGCCCAGACUCCUACUGGAAGCCACAGUAGGGAAUCUUCGGGAAUGGGGGGAAACCUGACCGAGCAACGCCGCGUGAGUGAAGAAGGUUUUCGGAACGUAAAGCUCUGUUGUUAAGGAAGCGGUACUUAACCAGAAAGGGACGGCUAACUACGUGCCAGCCGCCGCGGUAAUAC
rnacentral:rRNA from 1 species